GGAUUAGGCAUGCAAGUCGCACGAGAAAGGUUUCUUCGGAAGCCGAGUACAGUGGCGAACGGGUGAGUAAUGCAUAGACAACUCGCCCUUGAGAUGGGGACAACGCCUCGAAAGGGGUGCUAAUACCCAAUGCCGCCUUGGGCCUGCGGGUCCAGGGUGAAAGGAGGCCUCUGAUUCAAGCUUCCGCUCAAGGAGAGGUUUAUGUCCUAUUAGCUAGUUGGCGGGGUAACGGCCCACCAAGGCUGCGAUGGGUAGCCGACCUGAGAGGGUGACCGGCCACAUUGGGACUGAGACACUGCCCAGACUCCUACGGGAGGCUGCAGUCGAGAAUCUUCCGCAAUGCGCGCAAGCGUGACGGAGCGACGCCGCGUGGGUGAUGAAGGCCUUCGGGUUGUAAAACCCUGUCAGCUACUACGAAACACGGGCGAUGAACAAUCGUCCCGUCUGACUUAAGUAGCAGAGGAAGCACCGGCUAACUACGUGCCAGCAGCCGCGGUAAUACGUAGGGUGCAAACGUUGUUCGGAAUCACUGGGCAUAAAGGGCGCGUGGGCGGUCUGAUAAGUCAGGUGUGAAAUCCCUCGGCCUAACCGAGGAACUGCAUUUGAUACUGUCGGGCUAGAGUACAGGAGGGGAGAGUGGAAUUCCUGGUGGAGCGGUGAAAUGCGUAGAUAUCACGAGGAACGCCGGCGGCGAAAGCGACUCUCUGGCCUGUUACUGACGCUGAGGCGCGAAAGCUAGGGGAGCAAACGGGAUUAGAUACCCCGGUAGUCCUAGCCCUAAACGAUGGGCACUAAGUAGAGGGGUUUU
rnacentral:rRNA from 1 species